AUCCAGCUGACGAGUCCUAACUGGGACGAAACAUGCGUCAAACUGAAU
rnacentral:hammerhead_ribozyme from 1 species